UCAGGGGAAACCGAAAACCUGAAAGAGAGUAGGUG
rfam:Arcticibacter svalbardensis MN12-7 contig00016, whole genome shotgun sequence.